rnacentral:lncRNA from 10 species
GUUCUGCAUUUCUGUCCUGUAAGGAACAGUGAUUGCCCCUGCUCCGGAAGAUGUAAUGUGUAAGGUACCAUCCUGGGGGUGGCCCUCUCCAGACACCAAGCCUGCUGGCACCUUGAUCUUGGACUUCCCAGCCUCCAGAACUGUGAGAAAUAAAUUUCUGUUCUUUAUUAAUUACCCAGCAAUUUUUAUAGCUGCACAAAAUGGUUUAAGACAGAGGUCAUAGCAAGCUUCAGUUUUUACUUUUUCCCCUUGCAUCUGAACAAUUGCAAGCAGAAAGAACAACUGAGUGCUUUAUUUCUGCAACCACCAUGCUGCUACUGAGUGAAGGGGAAGGAGGGGUAAGAGCUUGCCUUCUUUCCUUGUGUUAAUUGCAACAUCUUCCAAAACCCAGCAAGGAAGGCAUGAAGUGAGCCUACCAAGGCCAGUCUCCAGAUGAGGGGACUAUAGCUACAGAUUGCUAUGUUUCCUGUUGGUGGUGGUAGCAAGAUUUCAUAGGGGCCUUUCUUGCCAUUGCUCAAAAUGAAAUGCAUUGACACCAAAGGAAGUGGUGAAACUGUGGGCAUUGUAUGCUUUAGAAAUUUGAUAUUUGGAAACCUGCAGACCUGAAGAGGCAGUAGCUUCUCCUGAAGAUCUGAUAUCCAAGGGCUACCCAGACAAGGAGCUGACUUGUCAGGAAGUGUGGUGGACCUUGACGCAAAAACUCAAACCACAAAUGUUUCACUUCUAAAUUUUUGCAGGCUUUGUUAUAUAGACAUUUUUGUUAAGCCCUGUCUAAAACAAUAGGAUGACUGGGUUCUUUCCCCUCCUCAUGGUGACUACGUGCAUCUUCUACGAACAUUCCCAUGUCAUGUGGUCAGCUUCCAAGAAAGACUUUACCAAUGAGUCUGUUUACAGAUUCUCAACCAGAGGACUUACAGGAAUGCACAGUAGCUAUUUGUUUGGGAUGCAGAGGUACAUGAGCCCCAGACCUCAUCCCCAAUCAGGCAGUUGGGUAGGAAUGGUGUGGUUACUGAUGGUGGGAGGACAGGGAUGGUGGGGACUUUCCUGUGGAGGGCCCACCACUGAAGAAAUCUCUCUACCUCCUGGUUUGAUCCAGGCUUUCCAGGGAUAAAAUAAGAGGGGGAAACAAAGAAGUAAUCAUUCCCCAGCCCCCAGUAUGCCCCAUCUCUGACUCAGCUCCCAGCAGAGCAGUAAUAGGUCCCUGCUUAUCAGAUGGCAUCGGAAGGGGGUGGGUGCCUGGGUGGGUGCCUGGCUGUGUGCAGUGAGGAGGUCUCAGCAGCAGCCUCUGAAGCCAACUGCUUGGCUGGAAUCUAGGUGCGCUACUCACUAGCUGGGGAACUUACAGCAAGUUACUUCACCUCUUACGCCUCAGUUUUCUCAUCUGCCAAAAGGGAGUACUAAUAGCAGCAUCAUUGACAAAAGCUGAAAGGUGGAAGCAAGCCAAGUGUUCAUCCACUGAGAAAUGCAUAAAUAAAAUGUGGCCUAGACAUACAUGGAAUACUAUUCAACCUCAAAGGAAGAGAAUCUGGACGUGUACUGCAACAUGGAUGAACUCUGAAGACAUCAUGCUGAGUCCAAGGACAAACACUGUAUGAUUCCACUUAGAUGAGGUACUUAGAGCUGUCAAAUUUGUAGAGAUAGAAAGUAGAAUGGUGCAGGUCAGGCGUUCAACACCAGCCUGGCCAACAUGGAAAAACCCUGUCUCUAUUAAAAAAUACAAAAAUUAGCCAGGCGUGGUGGUGUGCACCUGUAAUCCCAGCUACUCGGGAGGCUGAGGCAUAAGAAUCACUUGAACCCAGGAGGUGGAGGUUGCAGUGAGCCAAGAUCGCACCAUUGCACUCCAGCCUAGGCAAAAAGAGCAAGACUCCGUCUCAAAAAAAAAAAAAAAAAAAAGGAAAGUAGGACGGUGGCUGCCAGGGGCUGGAGGAAGAGGGGAAUGGGAAGUUCUUGCUUAAUGAGCAUAGUUUCAGUUUCGCAAGAUGAAGAGUUCCAGAGAUGGAUGGGAAGAUGGAUGCACAACAGUAUGAAUGUACUUAAUGCCACUGAACUACACACUUAAAAAUGGUUACGAUGGUAAAUGUUGUGUAUGUAUAUUUUACCACAAUUUUUAAAAAUAAAUAAGGAGAAAUAUUACCC